AUAUGACAAAAACACAAAAAAAAAUUCCCUUUACCACCCACGAGGCCACGAUACACGGUUCAUCUCAACUCCCCAAAAAUUUCUCCAGAACGCUAAACUGAAGUUCUCAUCCCCAAUUCCCCAAAUCCAAAACUUCAAGGGUUUCCUUCAAACUAAAAUCAUCGAGUUUUCUUCAAUUGGAAAUUUAUCGAAUUCAUUUGCGAUUUUGCUAGCAUCUCUAGAGAACCAUUACUGAUGACGAAAUUUAGUUGUGGAGGUUUUAAAUUACUUCUUCUUCUUGGUUUUAAGGGGAUGCAGUCCAAGAGGAUUUUGAAGGAGCUAAAGGAGAAAGAUCCUUCUGCUUCUCGGAAUGAUGGUUGUUGACAAACUGUAUGAAGCACUAGACAAAUGCAAAGACAUACUUGCUAAACAACGAUAU